UUUCAGGCUGGUUCAGACGAGAAACUAGAUGACAUUGUAAAAGCAUUGACCAUGUUUUUGAAUAAAAUAAAAUUAACCAAACCCAUCGUGAAAUGCCUUAGCAAAAUAGUGAACAAGAUUAUAAACUGUGUGGACGGGCCAUCUAAGAAAAUGCCUGGAUGCUUAGAG